ACCAAGUGACUUAGACUUUAUUAUUACUGUGUGUUAAAGCAUGUUUACACAUCUAUCUCCCCUAUAAAUCAAUGAGCUCCUCUGGGAUAUUCGUGUCUUAUUUGUCAGCAUAUACAGGACAGAGGACAGAACACUCAUUAAAUAUAAGUUUGUUGAACCAAAUACCCAAGAUUGUGACUGUCUUCUCUGUCCCAACUUCUGUCCCCAGACCUGAGACUGGGGUUAUUCUGGGCCCUUUUGAGAGUCCCUGAGGCCAAGAGUAAGGCUGUGAGCACGCUGGAGCCCCACAGGGAAGCCCAGCCCAGGACGAGUUCUGUGCUCUGAGCUCGUCUGGAUUCUGAGAAAAGCAGCAGCAGCCACAGUCUGGAGAGUCCCCGCUCAGGCCAAAUGGUGUUCCUCAGAGAAGCCCCUGCUCACUGAGGUGGGCAGCGUGGAGUCAUAGCAUCCCAGAGCCGGAAGGACUUCAUUCAUGGUUCUUCCACAGCCCUUCCCCCCACCUGUCAGGGAGAAGAAGGCGGACAAACAGAGGCAAGGAGAGGGGUAGAAGGCCUCCAGGCCUCCAGAGCCCUCCAGUGAGUGAGUGACAGCUUGAGUCCUGCCCAGCACAGAGCCUGGGACUGCCUUCCUUUGGGUCAAGGUUGGACCUGCCUUCCCUGUCCCUCAGUGUUUGCCAGCAGCCUGAGCUGCUGUCCCCCCCCUCCCCCCAUUCCUCAGAGCCCCUUCCUUGUUUCUCUGGGCAUGUAUAGGGUCUGUGUGUGUGUGUGUGUGUGUGUGUGUGUGUGUGUGUGUCUAGACCCAGUUAGUGUGAGACCAGAAGCAGAAAGGAGGAGGCUCUUAUCAUUGCAUUUCCCACGUGGCUAAUUCCCCUGGGGCAGAGGGGUGGGGAGAGGAGAGCCAGAGAGCCACAGGCUGGACAGGGCCUGCUGCAGCACACAGCAGCAAGUCCUGAGACCAAAGCACUGCCAUGGGUGUCAUUAGGAAAGAAUGCGGAGGCCACAGCAGCAGGGGGAACCUCUGGACCGGGGAGGGCAGGCCUCCUCAAUGACAAGCAGGCAGGCCCUGCAGAGGGAAACCAGCCCUCUGCAGUCUGUGUUGUAGAGGGCUCAGAGGGAGGGGGCUCUGUUCUGCCACAGAAGUGCAGCCUCACCAGGGACCAGGAAUCCCUGAACCAGAGCCCCACCCUGGGCUUCCUCAGAUCCUCCAGAAAACCGUGGCUACACAAUAAUGCAUUGCCUCUAUCAUGUUAGAACGUGCAUUAGACUCAAAUACAAAAACCAUGAAACAAACCACCAUCCUUCAACAAUUUGAGCAAAGAUAGAAUGCCUAAGGAACAACAUAGAUGGACUUGCAGAGGAUGGGCUGUUUUACUUCAAGCACCAUAAAAAAAAGAGCACAAAUGCAUGGGUUUUCAGGUAUAUACAUUAAGUUGAACCUUUGGCACUAGGAAUCAGGGCAUUUUGUCACGUAGCAUUAACACAUAUUAGAAAAUUGUGUAGUGUCAAAGGGAUAGAACCACCAGCAUUCAAGCAAUGUUGUCAACUAGGCAAUAAAAUGUUCUACUGAAUUUUUCUUCUUUGUCUA
rnacentral:lncRNA from 1 species